rnacentral:rRNA from 1 species
AGGGCACCACCAGGAGUGGAGCCCGCGGCUUAAUUUGACUCAACACGGGAAAACUCACCCGGCCCGGACACUGGAAGGAUUGACAGAUUGAGAGCUCUUUCUUGAUUCAGUGGGUGGUGGUGCAUGGCCGUUCUUAGUUGGUGGAGUGAUUUGUCUGGUUAAUUCCGAUAACGAACGAGACUCUAGCCUACUAAAUAGAUCGUCGGCUUACAAACGCCGGCGAGACUUCUUAGAGGGACAGGCGGUGAUUCAACCGCACGAAACAGAGCAAUAACAGGUCUGUGAUGCCCUUAGAUGUCCGGGGCCGCACGCGCGCUACACUGAAGUGAUCAGCGUGCUUUUUCAACCUACUCUGUCAAGAGUGGGGAACCCAAUGAACCUUCUUCGUGAUUGGGAUAGGGGAUUGUAAUUAUUCCCCUUGAACGAGGAAUUCCCAGUAAGCGCGAGUCAUAAGCUCGCGUUGAUUACGUCCCUGCCCUUUGUACACACCGCCCGUCGCUACUACCGAUUGAAUGUUUU